GUAGGUGGCAAGCGUUGUCCGGAAUUAUUGGGCGUAAAGCGCGCGCAGGUGGUUCUUUAAGUCUGAUGUGAAAGCCCCCGGCUCAACCGGGGAGGGUCAUUGGAAACUGGGGAACUUGAGUGCAGGAGAGGAAAGUGGAAUCCCACGUGUAGCGGUGAAAUGCGUAGAUAUGUGGAGGAACACCAGUGGCGAAGGCGACUUUCUGGCCUGUAACUGACACUGAGGCGCGAAAGCGUGGGGAGCAAACAGGGAUUAGAUACCCUGGUAGUCCACGCCGUAAACGAUGAGUGCUAAGUGUUGGGGGGGUUUCCCGCCCCUCAGUGCUGCAGCUAACGCAUUAAGCACUCCGCCUGGGGAGUACGGUCGCAAGACUG
rnacentral:rRNA from 1 species